rnacentral:rRNA from 1 species
UAUAUAGGCUCGGCCUUACAACAACAAACAAAGUUUGACCUCAAAUCAGGUAGGAUUACCCGCUGAACUUAAGCAUAUCAAUAAGCGGAGGAAAAGAAACCAACAGGGAUUGCCUUAGUAACGGCGAGUGAAGCGGCAAAAGCUCAAAUUUGAAAUCUAGUACUUUCAGUGCUCGAGUUGUAAUUUGAAGAAGGUAACUUUGGUGUUGGCCCUUGUCUAUGUUCCUUGGAACAGGACGUCACAGAGGGUGAGAAUCCCGUGCGAUGAGGUGUCCAAUACUAUGUAAAGUGCUUUCGAAGAGUCGAGUUGUUUGGGAAUGCAGCUCUAAGUGGGUGGUAAAUUCCAUCUAAAGCUAAAUAUUGGCGAGAGACCGAUAGCGAACAAGUACAGUGAUGGAAAGAUGAAAAGAACUUUGAAAAGAGAGUGAAAAAGUACGUGAAAUUGUUGAAAGGGAAGGGUUUGAGAUCAGACUUGGUAUUUUGCAAUCCUUUCCUUCUCGGGGAGGUUUCUUAGCAGCUUACCGGGCCAGCAUCGGUUUGGAUGGUAGGAUAAUGACAUUGGAAUGUAGCUCUUCGGAGUGUUAUAGACUUUGUUGAUACUGCCUAUCUAGACCGAGGACUGCGUCUUUGACUAGGAUGCUGGCGUAAUGAUCUUAAACCGCCCGUCUUGAAACACGGACCAAGGAGUCUAACGUCUAUGCGAGUGUUUGGG